GACGAACGCUGGCGGCGUGCCUAACACAUGCAAGUCGAACGAGAAAGUCCCGCAAGGGAUGAGUAAAGUGGCGCACGGGUGAGUAACACGUAGGUAACCUGCCUCUAAGAUCGGGAUAACCUGUCGAAAGACGAGCUAAUACCGGAUAAGACCACGGUCCCCUCGGGGACAGGGGUCAAAGGUGGCCUCUGCUUGCAAGCUAUCGCUUAGAGAUGGGCCUGCGCACCAUUAGCUAGUUGGUAGGGUAACGGCCUACCAAGGCAAAGAUGGUUAGCUGGUCUGAGAGGAUGACCAGCCACACUGGAACUGAGACACGGUCCAGACUCCUACGGGAGGCAGCAGUGGGGAAUCUUGCGCAAUGGGCAAAAGCCUGACGCAGCAACGCCGCGUGGGUGAUGAAGGCCUUCGGGUCGUAAAGCCCUGUCGGGAGGAACGAAUGCUCCUGGGACGAAUAGUCUCAGGAGGUGACGGUACCUUCAAAGGAAGCACCGGCUAACUCCGUGCCAGCAGCCGCGGUAAUACGGAGGGUGCGAGCGUUGUUCGGAAUCAUUGGGCGUAAAGGGCGUGUAGGCGGUUUGUUAAGUCAUGUGUGAAAUCCCUCGGCUCAACCGAGGAAGGGCGCAUGAAACUGGCAAG
rnacentral:rRNA from 1 species